AGUGAUGACCGGAAGGCGAGAGAUGGAAGGGAGCCUGUGCCCCAGGACGUCGGUGUCCGCCCUUUGGCACCCCGCUAGCCCUGGAUCUAGGCGCUCUCGGGGUCUCUGCAGCGUUUCUCCCGGCCCAACGCAGAGUGAAGCUUAUGUAAAUAAAUGUCUGUAUCGUGGGUCCGCGGCGAGAUCGUAGGCCCGUGGCGCAGGCUCGUCCGGAAGCCUUUUGCUCCUGGGCGCCUUAGGCCCUUGGUGGGGGCCGCGGACCCGGGAGGGCGGCCCCGCUAGCUGGGCGACGACGUCUCCUCCGCGGCCCCCCCAGAGCUGGAACGCAAGUGGAUCGGUGAGGCUGAGCCCUGCUUCCCUCAGCUUCCUGGCCGAAGUGCCAGGAUUUCUGUGAAAAAUCCAGAAAAUAAGGAUGCUGUGAGAAUGGAAUGAAACGUCGCUUGCUCCGGGACUGAAAAUUCACUGGCAUGAGUGCAUUUCACAUAUUAGCUCACUUAAUCUUUUGUUGAGUUUUAAAGAUAAUACUAUUCCCCGGAUUUUAGGGGGGAUGGGGGGGAACGGAAUGAGGCACAGCCAAAUUGUAAGUUGUUAUGGUCACAUUAAGCAAAAUGUGAACCUAGAGGAUCUGGUAUCUUUUUUUCUCCUCUCCUUUGGGUACUAGGGAUAGAGGCCAGGCCUCAUGCAGUAAUGCUAGGCUAGUGCUCUACUUCGGAACCACAUACCCGACCUAACAAUUUGGUUAUUUGAAUACAUACUCUUAACCACAACAUUAAGUAAUAUGUUACCAAAAAUUCUUUCUCAUUGCUAAAGUAAAAUUGUCAGUGUGACGACGCUUUCAGUGUUGGAUGGAACGUUUUUUUUUUCCCCUAGGCCACAGUGGCCUGAGACUUCUUACUGUGUAGCAAACUGACCUGUAACUUCUUGACCCCAUCCACCUCUCAAGUCCUGGGAUUACAGACGAGGGCCAGAGGGCCACUCUGCUCUUCGGGUGCCACCUAUUCAAGCACGUCUAGCAUCUUGCCCUUUCUAAUUAGACAAAACAAGUGUUGAAGUCCUUGUUAAUCAUAAAAAAAUUAAAAAUUACAAAACCUUAAAUUCAAUCCCUUGGGAAGAAAAAAGUAACAUUAAGAUCAGUAAUAUAAAAAUAAUAAACGACUUGUUACCU
rnacentral:lncRNA from 1 species